rnacentral:rRNA from 1 species
UACGGAGGAUGCGAGCGUUAUCCGGAUUUAUUGGGUUUAAAGGGUGCGUAGGCGGUCUGUUAAGUCAGCGGUAAAAUUGCGGGGCUCAACCCCGUCGAGCCGUUGAAACUGGCAGACUUGAGUUGGCGAGAAGUACGCGGAAUGCGCGGUGUAGCGGUGAAAUGCAUAGAUAUCGCGCAGAACUCCGAUUGCGAAGGCAGCGUACCGGCGCCACACUGACGCUGAGGCACGAAAGCGUGAGGAUCGAACAGG